rnacentral:piRNA from 1 species
UGGAGUAUAUACAAGCCUGGCGAUGGGU